UACGUAGGGAGCAAGCGUUGUCCGGAAUUAUUGGGCGUAAAGAGCUCGUAGGCGGUUUGUCGCGUCUGCUGUGAAAACCUAGGGCUUAACCCUGGGCCUGCAGUGGGUACGGGCAGACUAGAGUGCGGUAGGGGAGACUGGAAUUCCUGGUGUAGCGGUGAAAUGCGCAGAUAUCAGGAGGAACACCGGUGGCGAAGGCGGGUCUCUGGGCCGUAACUGACGCUGAGGAGCGAAAGCGUGGGGAGCGAACAGG
rnacentral:rRNA from 1 species